rnacentral:rRNA from 1 species
UACGGGGGGGGCAAGCGUUGUUCGGAAUUACUGGGCGUAAAGGGCUCGUAGGCGGCCAACUAAGUCGGAUGUGAAAUCCCCAGGCUUAACCUGGGAACUGCAUCCGAUACUGGAUGGCUUGAAUCCGGGAGAGGGAUGCAGAGUUCCAGGUGUAGCGGUGAAAUGCGUAGAUAUCUGGAGGAAUACCGGUGGCGAAAGCGGCUCUCUGGAACGGUACUGACGCUGAGACGCGAAAGCGUGGGGAGCGAACAGG